UACGUAGGGUGCAAGCGUUGUCCGGAAUUAUUGGGCGUAAAGAGCUCGUAGGCGGUCUGUCGCGUCUGCCGUGAAAGUCCGGGGCUCAACUCCGGAUCUGCGGUGGGUACGGGCAGACUAGAGUGAUGUAGGGGAGACUGGAAUUCCUGGUGUAGCGGUGAAAUGCGCAGAUAUCAGGAGGAACACCGGUGGCGAAGGCGGAUCUCUGGGCCGUAACUGACGCUGAGGAGCGAAAGCGUGGGGAGCGAACAGGA
rnacentral:rRNA from 1 species